CUCCUACGGGAGGCAGCAGUCGGGAAUAUUGCGCAAUGGAGGAAACUCUGACGCAGUGACGCCGCGUGCAGGAAGAAGGUUUUCGGAUUGUAAACUGCUUUAGACAGGGAAGAAACAAGACAGUACCUGUAGAAUAAGCUCCGGCUAACUACGUGCCAGCAGCCGCGGUAAUA
rnacentral:rRNA from 1 species